GAUCUAUAUGCAUAUGAAUUCAUUAUUUGUUCAUUUCCUUUUUCUUAUAUUAUUGCUUCGCCUUGUUUAUUGGUACCUAUUUUCGUAGUUAAUCCGAUUUAUAUUCCUUCCUUUGUUGGUUUCAAUUAUUAUUCAUUGAUUUGUCGUUCAUUAUUCGAAAAUUUUUAAUGAAUUUUCCUGUUUUUCUGCAGAUAGACUUGUAGUGGGUAUCACUACAUAUGUCGCAUUAAAAACAAUUGCAAAUAUCCUCUUUAUUUUUGCUCACCUCAUCGCCGCAAAAUUCAUAGUUGGAGCUCCAUUUGUUGAUGUUUCUAAUCUGUAAGUGGAGGAGAAGGCACCGAGCAAUGGAUGCCAGCGUCGAAGAAUUUCUUCAAGCUCAUAACAACUUUCUAUCUAUAAGGUACUCUUACUCGGACAUCAGGAUAAUCACAAAAAAAAUCAAACACAAAUUAGAGAAAGGGGGAUAUGGUUCUGUGUAUAGAGGACCACUUAGAAGUGGCAACGAAAUUGCGGCUAAGAUUUUGAACAAACCAAAAUCAAAUGGCCAAGACUUUAUAAGCGAAGUGCCCACCAUUGGAAGGAUCCACCACGUCAAUGUCGUGCAACUUGUUGGCAAUUGUUUUGAUGAUUCCAAACAAGGUCUUGUCCAUGAUUUCAUGCCAAAUGGAUAUUUGUAUAAGCACAUUUUCUCUAGAGAUGAUGGUAGAUUUCUUGAUCAUAAGAAAAUAUACGAGAUCUCUCUUGGUGUGGCCGAGGGAAUAGAAUAUUUAUAUCGGGGAUGUGAGAUGUAAAUUCUACAUUUUGACAUCAAGCCUCACAAUAUUCUUUUGGAUCAAAAUUUCACUCCGAAAGUUUAUGACUUCGGGCUUGCAAGACUUUAUCCCGCAAACCACAACAUAGUAUCGUUGAUAACUGCAAGAGGAACCUUGGGAUAUAUGGCUCCUGAGCUAUUCUACGGGGACAUUGGUGGCGUCUCUCAUAAAGCUGAUGUUUUUAGUUUUAGGAUGUUGCUUAUGGAAAUGGCCGGUAGGCGGAGGAAUGUAAAUGCAAAUAUGAAGCAUUCAAGCCAAACUUAUUUCCCUCUAUGGGUUUAUGAUCAACUCAGCAAAGCAAAUGAAGUUGAAAUGGAGAAGUAGAAGAGGAAAAAGAGAUAACUAGAAAAAUCGUCAUAGUUGCUUUUUGGUGCAUACGGUCAAUGCCUGAUGAUUGGCGAUUAAUGAGCUGAGUCCUAGACAUGCUUGAAGGAGAUUUUGAUAAAUUGCGACGGCCUCCGAAACCGCUUUUGUAUCCGUCCGAGAAGCCAGUUGACGAUGUUGACUUUGGAAUAAGACUUGAAUCAUUCUCAAUCCCGUCAAGUGCUCCAAUAACUUUUGAAGAGUACCAAUUUCGAAAUAACAAUGAAAUUACGGAAUUAUGCAGCGUUUAAUUUUAUUUUCUUCAUGUGUGAAUGAAACGCAAAAUGGACAUAGUUGCAUCAGAAGCAUAAUUGACAUGUAAUUGGUGAACCUAGAUGAUUUCAGCGUUUGUUAAUUCCUCUGUUUUGUAGAAGAAUUGCCUCAUGGCUAUCCAUUUACACUUCUUAUUUCGUGAGUGCUCU